AGAGUUUGAUCCUGGCUCAUGACGAACGCUGGCGGCGCGCCUAACACAUGCAAGUCGAACGAGCGAGAGAGAGCUUGCUUUCUCAAGCGAGUGGCGAACGGGUGAGUAACGCGUGAGGAACCUGCCUCAAAGAGGGGGACAACAGUUGGAAACGACUGCUAAUACCGCAUAAGCCCACAGCUCGGCAUCGAGCAGAGGGAAAAGGAGCAAUCCGCUUUGAGAUGGCCUCGCGUCCGAUUAGCUAGUUGGUGAGGUAACGGCCCACCAAGGCGACGAUCGGUAGCCGGACUGAGAGGUUGAACGGCCACAUUGGGACUGAGACACGGCCCAGACUCCUACGGGAGGCAGCAGUGGGGAAUAUUGCACAAUGGGGGAAACCCUGAUGCAGCGACGCCGCGUGGAGGAAGAAGGUCUUCGGAUUGUAAACUCCUGUUGUUGAGGAAGAUAAUGACGGUACUCAACAAGGAAGUGACGGCUAACUACGUGCCAGCAGCCGCGGUAAAACGUAUGUCACAAGCGUUGUCCGGAAUGACUGGGUGUAAAGGGAGCGCAGGCGGGAAGACAAGUUGGAAGUGAAAUCUAUGGGCUCAACCCAUAAACUGCUCUCAAAAGUGUACCUCUUGAGUAGUGCACAGGUAGGCGGAAUUCCCGGUGUAGCGGUGGAAUGCGUAGAUAUCGGGAGGAACACCAGUGGCGAAGGCGGCCUACUGGGCACCAACUGACGCUGAGGCUCGAAAGUGUGGGUAGCAAACAGGAUUAGAUACCCUGGUAGUCCACACCGUAAACGAUGAUUACUAGGUGUUGGAAGAUUGACCCCUUCAGUGCCGCAGUUAACACAAUAAGUAAUCCACCUGGGGAGUACGACCGCAAGGUUGAAACUCAAAGGAAUUGACGGGGGCCCGCACAAGCAGUGGAGUAUGUGGUUUAAUUCGACGCAACGCGAAGAACCUUACCAAGUCUUGACAUCCCUUGACGAACAUAGAAAUAUGUUUUCUCUUCGGAGCAAGGAGACAGGUGGUGCAUGGUUGUCGUCAGCUCGUGUCGUGAGAUGUUGGGUUAAGUCCCGCAACGAGCGCAACCCUUACUGUCAGUUACUACGCAAGAGGACUCUGGCAGGACUGCCGUUGACAAAACGGAGGAAGGUGGGGAUGACGUCAAAUCAUCAUGCCCUUUAUGACUUGGGCUACACACGUACUACAAUGGCGUUAAACAAAGAGAAGCAAGGCCGCGAGGUGGAGCAAAACUCAGAAACAACGUCCCAGUUCGGACUGCAGGCUGCAACUCGCCUGCACGAAGUCGGAAUUGCUAGUAAUCGUGGAUCAGCAUGCCACGGUGAAUACGUUCCCGGGCCUUGACACACCGCCCGUCAA
rnacentral:rRNA from 1 species